UACGGAGGGUGCGAGCGUUAUCCGGAAUUACUGGGUUUAAAGGGUGCGUAGGCGGCUAUGUAAGUCAGGAGUGAAAGUUUGCGGCUCAACCGUAAAAUUGCUUUUGAUACUGCAUGGCUAGAAUUAGGUUGAGGUUAGCGGAAUGUGGCAUGUAGCGGUGAAAUGCAUAGAUAUGCCAUAGAACACCAAUUGCGAAGGCAGCUCGCUGGGACGGUACUGACGCUGAGGCGCGAAAGCGUGGGGAGCAAACAGG
rnacentral:rRNA from 1 species